AUGCCAAAUCGCAGCCGCAAGCUUCCCUCCCUUCCGAUCCUCCCCGCACCUCCCUCCCGAUCCUCCCCGCACACCCCUCCCCGCUCCACGCCGCUUCCCCUCGCUCCCGCUUCUCCCUUCGAUGUUCUGCGUUCACCAGGAUGCGGCCGCUCGGAUGUGGUGGCAGACAGUUGCGAGGGUUUAGAUCCGAUAAAGGAGGCGGUUCCGGUGGAAAGAUUUGGCUCGGUAGCGGCAUUCAUGGAAGCGGCAGAAAAAAUUAUGGUUUUGAUUAAAGAUACGCGAGCCAAGGCAGAGGAGGCGUGCCGUCUUGUGGUUCUUAUUCAAGAGGCUACGGCAGGAGGCGGCUCAAAUGUGGCAGCGGUAUCGGAGCUUUGCAAGGUGGUGGCGACGGCGGGGGAUGGAAGCGGUUCGGGUGUGGCAAAGGCAUUGGAGGUAUGCAAGGUGGUGGAUGUGAUGCACAAGGAGGUGGCGGCGCCCGCGGAUCUGAUGCAGGUGGGGACAACAGCGGAGAAGGUGGCUUACCGACCACCUUUUCUAAUUCCGGCGCCAAGAGCUGUGGACAUUGGCGGCGAUGAGGUAGAAAAUCCAUCCUGCUACCAAAGGACAAUAUUGGAAGAUGAUAGCGACCACAAGCCCCUCUUCGAGAAGGCACUUGUCGGGCAAAUCAACAUUGAGGAUACGAGUGGAAAAGCUAAGGAUGUGAUCAGCGAGGAGGGGAGCAGCGAGGAGAUGAAGGAUAGCGACAAUGAUGUUGGCAUGGUCAUUGGGGGAUAUGCGCAAGAUCCAUACGAUGAUAGAGGCCUAGAAGAACUCAUGCAAGACCAAGAUGCCUUGGAAAAAUCGGUCUUCCUCAUCGGCAUCAAAGUUGAGAUCAAAAGGAAAGGCAUUAUGUUCAGAGCUCUUUGCGCACAACAUUGGAGAUGCAUACAAGUUGAUAUCAAAAGGAAGCACAUGGAUGGCACCUCCAUGGAGAUCACCUCCAAGCUGGUCAUCCUCUUGAUCAGCCACUGCUGCUUCUUCAGCCACUGCUUCAUUGAGAUUAGGUACAGCCUGUUCAUCUCCCUCAUCUAAUGGUAUAUCU
rnacentral:lncRNA from 1 species